UUGAUACUGUUGUCCUAGAGUGUAGUUGAGGUAGGCGGAAUAUGUCAUGUAGCGGUGAAAUGCUUAGAUAUGACAUAGAACACCGAUCGCGAAGGCAGCUUACCAAGCUAUUACUGACGCUCAGGGACGAAAGCGUGGGGAUCAAACAGGAUUAGAUACCCUGGUAGUCCACGCUGUAAACGAUGGUCACUCGAUGUUGGCGAUACACAGUCAGCGUCUGAGCGAAAGCAUUAAGUGACCCACCUGGGGAGUACGACCGCAAGGUUGAAACUCAAAGGAAUUGACGGGGGCCCGCACAAGCGGAGGAGCAUGUGGUUUAAUUCGAUGAUACGCGAGGAACCUUACCUGGGCUCGAACGUAAGACGACGCUUCGUGAAAGCGGAAUUCCCUUCGGGGCGGCUUACGAGGUGCUGCAUGGUUGUCGUCAGCUCGUGCCGUGAGGUGUCGGGUUAAGUCCCAUAGCGAGCGCAA
rnacentral:rRNA from 1 species